rnacentral:rRNA from 1 species
UACAGAGGGGGCAAGCGUUAUUCGGAAUUAUUGGGCGUAAAGAGCGUGUAGGCGGCCAUGUAGGUCCGGUGUGAAAACUCGAGGCUUAACCUCGAGAUGUCAUCGGAAACCAUUUGGCUAGAGUCCGGAAGAGGAGAGUGGAAUUCCUGGUGUAGCGGUGAAAUGCGCAGAUAUCAGGAAGAACACCAAUGGCGAAAGCAGCUCUCUGGGACGGUACUGACGCUGAGACGCGAAAGCGUGGGGAGCGAACAGG